AUUGAACGCUGGCGGCAUGCCUUACACAUGCAAGUCAACGGCAGCACGGGAGCAAUCCUGGUGGCGAGUGGCGAACGGGUGAGUAAUAUAUCGGAACGUGCCCAGUCGUGGGGGAUAACGUAGCGAAAGCUACGCUAAUACCGCAUACGAUCUAUGGAUGAAANCGGGGGAUCGCAAGACCUCGCGCGAUUGGAGCGGCCGAUAUCAGAUUAGGUAGUUGGUGAGGUAAAGGCUCACCAAGCCGACGAUCUGUAGCUGGUCUGAGAGGACGACCAGCCACACUGGGACUGAGACACGGCCCAGACUCCUACGGGAGGCAGCAGUGGGGAAUUUUGGACAAUGGGCGCAAGCCUGAUCCAGCAAUGCCGCGUGCAGGAUGAAGGCCUUCGGGUUGUAAACUGCUUUGUACGGAACGAAACGGUGAGCUCUAAUACAGUUUGCUAAUGACGGUACCGUAAGAAUAAGCACCGGCUAACUACGUG
rnacentral:rRNA from 1 species